AUUGAACGCUGGCGGCAGGCCUAACACAUGCAAGUCGAGCGGAUGAAGGGAGCUUGCUCCUGGAUUCAGCGGCGGACGGGUGAGUAAUGCCUAGGAAUCUGCCUGGUAGUGGGGGAUAACGUCCGGAAACGGGCGCUAAUACCGCAUACGUCCUGAGGGAGAAGUGGGGGAUCUUCGGACCUCACGCUUUCCGAUGAGCCUAGGUCGGAUUAGCUAGUUGGUGGGGUAAAGGCCUACCAAGGCGACGAUCCGUAACUGGUCUGAGAGGAUGAUCAGUCACACUGGAACUGAGACACGGUCCAGACUCCUACGGGAGGCAGCAGUGGGGAAUAUUGGACAAUGGGCGAAAGCCUGAUCCAGCCAUGCCGCGUGUGUGAAGAAGGUCUUCGGAUUGUAAAGCACUUUAAGUUGGGAGGAAGGGCAGUAAGUUAAUACCUUGCUGUUUUGACGUUACCAACAGAAUAAGCACCGGCUAACUUCGUG
rnacentral:rRNA from 1 species